rnacentral:rRNA from 1 species
GUUAUAGGUUAUAGCGCGUUGAAUGCACCAGUUCUAAAUGGAUCACUGAAGUUAAGCACUUUUGUCCGUCAUUGGUAAGUGGAUGGGUGACCAUGUGGGCAAUCGCGUAGGGUGUCUAGUC